AGGAUGAACGCUGGCGGCGUGCUUAACACAUGCAAGUCGAGCGAAGCAUUAAAACAGAUUUCUUCGGAUUGAAGUUUUUGUGACUGAGCGGCGGACGGGUGAGUAACGCGUGGGUGACCUGCCUCAUACAGGGGGAUAACAGACAGAAAUGUCUGCUAAUACCGCAUAAGCGCACAGUGCUGCAUGGCACAGUGUGAAAAACUCCGGUGGUAUGAGAUGGACCCGCGUCUGAUUAGCUAGUUGGUAAGGUAACGGCUUACCAAGGCGACGAUCAGUAGCCGGCCUGAGAGGGUGAACGGCCACAUUGGGACUGAGACACGGCCCAAACUCCUACGGGAGGCAGCAGUGGGGAAUAUUGCACAAUGGGGGAAACCCUGAUGCAGCGACGCCGCGUGAAGGAAGAAGUAUUUCGGUAUGUAAACUUCUAUCAGCAGGGAAGAAAAUGACGGUACCUGACUAAGAAGCCCCGGCUAACUACGUGCCAGCAGCCGCGGUAAUACGUAGGGGGCAAGCGUUAUCCGGAUUUACUGGGUGUAAAGGGAGCGUAGACGGCAUGGCAAGUCUGGUGUGAAAGGCAGGGGCUCAACCCCUGGACUGCAUUGGAAACUGUCAGGCUGGAGUGCAGGAGAGGUAAGUGGAAUUCCUAGUGUAGCGGUGAAAUGCGUAGAUAUUAGGAGGAACACCAGUGGCGAAGGCGACUUACUGGACUGUAACUGACGUUGAGGCUCGAAAGCGUGGGGAGCAAACAGGAUUAGAUACCCUGGUAGUCCACGCCGUAAACGAUGAGUACUAGGUGUCAGGGAGCAAAGCUCUUUGGUGCCGCAGCUAACGCAAUAAGUAUUCCACCUGGGGAGUACGUUCGCAAGAAUGAA
rnacentral:rRNA from 1 species